rnacentral:rRNA from 1 species
GACGAACGCUGGCGGCGUGCUUAACACAUGCAAGUCGAACGGAAAGGCCCUGCUUUUGUGGGGUGCUCGAGUGGCGAACGUGUGAGUAACACGUGAGUAACCUGCCCUUGACUUUGGGAUAACUUCAGGAAACUGGGGCUAAUACCGGAUAGGAGCUCCUGCUGCAUGGUGGGGGUUGAAAAGUUUCGGCGGUUGGGGAUGGACUCGCGGCUUAUCAGCUUGUUGGUGGGGUAGUGGCUUACCAAGGCGUUGACGGGUAGCCGGCCUGAGAGGGUGACCGGCCACAUUGGGACUGAGAUACGGCCCAGACUACUACGGGAGGGAGCAGUGGGGAAUAGUGCACAAUGGGCGGAAGCCUGAUGCAGCAACGCCGCGUGCGGGAUGACGGCCUUCGGGUUGUAAACCGCUUUCGCCUGUGACGAAGAGUGAGUGACGGUAAUGGGUAAAGAAGCACCGGCUAACUACGUG